rnacentral:rRNA from 1 species
AAGACCUUGCACUUUUGGAGCGGCCGAUGUCCGAUUAGCUAGUUGGUGGGGUAAAGGCCUACCAAAGCUUCGAUCAGUAGCUGGUCUGAGAGGACGGCCAGCCACACUGGGACUGAGACACGGCCCAGACUCCUACGGGAGGCAGCAGUGGGGAAUUUUGGACAAUGGGCGCAAGCCUGAUCCAGCCAUGCCGCGUGAGUGAAGAAGGCCUUCGGGUUGUAAAGCUCUUUCAGCCGGGAAGAAAAGGCUGCGACUAAUAAUCGCAGUUCAUGACGGUACCGGAAGAAGAAGCACCGGCUAACUACGUGCCAGCAGCCGCGGUAAUACGUAGGGUGCGAGCGUUAAUCGGAAUUACUGGGCGUAAAGGGUGCGCAGGCGGUUUUGUAAGUCAGAUGUGAAAUCCCCGGGCUUAACCUGGGAACU